rnacentral:piRNA from 1 species
GUGAAAAAAAAAUUUUUUUUCCAUAGCAGA